UCUGUUCUGAAAAGGCCCCCGCUGUUCAGUGGCCCCCGGGAGUUACUGAUUAGCGUGUGCGACCGCGGCCCCGCGGCGCCUCCCCUUGGCUAAAGAGAACGGUGCGCAGCCUCGGCCAUCGCCCCGCGCGGUGUCGGGCCCCUGCGAGGGAACGAAUAAUAAGGAUCAUUAAGCCCCUCUGAAACCUCCCCAGACCCUUAAAGCCGCACCACCCUACCCGGGCAGCCUUGGAGGCGAGGAGGACCCUAGGGUGAACAGCUAUGGCUAGUGUGUCUGUGUACGUGCGCGCGCCCGUGAGCGCGCGCGCGAGCGUGCGUGUGUGGCUUCGUCUCAGGCUACCCAUCUGGGUUACCGCAGUAGAGCCGAGGAGGGAAUGGGGGUGGUAGGGGGAGAAGGCUAUUCUUGUCUUCUAUUUGAAUUAAGAAUUCAGUUUAAAAAUUGGGAUAAGGAGCAAAAUGAGAAAAAAACCUAAACGCCCCUCCCACCCCCGCAGGGAGCUUUAAUUCUGGGGCGGCGCAGACCACACUUCUCUGCGGACCGCGCCCGGGGGUUGGGCGCCCACCGCGCUUGCUGGCGAAGUUCUGCAGCCGCGUCUAGGAGAGCCUGGGCCUUGUGGCUCGGAGGCUCCGCGACGCACGCCCCUUCUCGCGCUCCGCCCCGCGGUCACGGGCCCACGCCGACCUCUGCAGCCGCGCCGCCCACCGCUUCCUCGCCCCGGGGCGUAAACCCGAAACCACCCGGUCCUGGGGCAUCGGCCUGCGUCCUGGCCGGUGGCCCGUCCCUCCGGAGCAUUCAGGGACGGGCUGGGGGGUGGCGGCCGACCGAGCUGCGCUCCCGACGCGUUGCCGCCUGUAUUUGUUUCGUGACCUUGACCACGUCCCAGCCCUAACCUCCUCAAAGUCACAACUGGGAUAGUAAACCUUGCGGGGUUCGCCCGCUGGGUGGUGGGGUAAUAUAUUCCGGUGGGGAGGAAGGGGGCUUGGCGGAGAGACUGUCAACUAUCCCGCUGUAUGUCUGUUUUCAGCCCGCCCCAAAUUUUGAGGUAAUUCAGGCCCUGGCCUGCGACCUCCUCCAGGAAGGGGGCUCAUGGGCGUUUAGGCUCCGCGGAGCCCGCCAUACUGGAGGCGGGUGGGCGCAGGCGGAGCGCCAGGUGGGGACACAGGGCGCCUUUGGCAGCGUCGGCUGCACCGCCCCAUCCCGGCCCGAGGAGGAGCAGCCUCGCCCGGCACGUCCCGCAGGCUCGGGCCCAGCUUCGGCCCCAGCUUCGGCCCCGCGCCCGGUACUCGGCUCAGAGCUGACCCCUCCACCUCGCUGCCGCGGGCAGGAGCCGCGGAACUCCAAAGACCCAGGCGGGAGCAGGAGCUGGGCGCCGGCCGACGCAACUCAGGCUGAGAGGGAAGUCGCUUAUGUUGUCCGGAUCUGCGGGCGCGACGAAGGCGACCCCGAGUCGCGCAGGGGACCCAGCCUCAGAGAAGGCAUUGGCUUCUGAGUCUGUCAAACCUAAACGGAGAGGCUCUAAAGGAAGAAGUCUCCCAACCCUUCGCAAAAAUAAAAACCAUCUGGAAAAGAAAGCAUCUACUGGAUGGAAGGAGACAAUUGCAAAUGAAAGAUUCGCUAGCAAUAGAAUUCAAAGGACUAAAGAAUCUGUGUGAUGCUACAGAUGAAAGCUCUAUCCAGCAAUAUAGUAUUCAAGAGUACUACUACUUUUGGGCUUCAGAUCAAGUAAGAAUACCAAAGUUUGGACUUGAAGAUCUGCUAGUACAGAAUUGAUGUAGAGGAGUAUGGCAACAUCGGAAGUUGUGUGUUAAAGCUGGUGGAGCCACAACAUGGAAGGAGCCUAGGAUCCUGAAUCAGUGCCCAGAGCUUGUCCAAUUUCAGUUUUUCUUUUACUGAGGCCAUGGAUCCCCCCCAUCCCCACCUUGACACCGGAAUUCUGCCUAAAAUGAAACAGCAACAGAACAGAGGUCAAGAACUUAGAAAGAUUCAUAUGGAAGAAACCAGCAUCCAGAAUUUGGAUCGAAUUUGAAGAAAAGGAAUCAUUUUCUCAACUGUGACAAUGCUUGAAACAACUUCUUGAACUCAUUUAGCUGUCGCUGCCACUGAUCCUAUUGUUUUGUUUUUUACAUCAUCAGAUUUUGAUCAAAGGGUUCACAAAAAUUAGAAAUACAGAGAGCAGAACACGCUGUGCGUCAGCUGCUGUAGAGAACAGAUGAAACAAACCCCGGGGUUUAUCGCGGGCCUGGGACUAACCCAGCCAGCAGCUUCCAAUAGAGCAAAGUCGCAAAUAAUUUCAAAUCCUUUUUUUGAGCUUUUGUGAAAAUAAAGCUGGGUGCACACUAGAUCAACAAGCACUCUCCAAGAUGCAGGACAACCCAAAGAAGACCCUGUUAUCUGGCUAGAUCAAAUGCUGCUGUUUCAACAUUAGAUUGUAUAAUAAAUGUAAGCGACAAAAUAAGGAAUGAACUUUUUCAUGAGUUCUGAAAUGAUUCUACUUGUGUCCUUUUCUACCAUGAUUAUCAAGGAGUGUGGUCAUCUCAUUUGUAGAGGUUUUACAAGCGUUUUUGGUACAACUAAUGCCUGUUCUUUUUUUUUUCUUUUGAAAACGGACAAUACAGAGAAGCAAUUAGAAACUGUUGAUGACCUUUGUCUCUAAGAAUGUAUAUUGCUAAUUUUGAGAUAUUCUAUUCUGGUAUUUUUACUAUAGAUUGUCAUAUACAGUUAACGUUAAACAUAAGUAUGUACUAUCUGAUAUUUAAGAAGCAUGUAAGCCAUGAGGUGUAAUAAUAAAAUGCAUCCCUGAAAAUAAACUCAAACCAGGGACCAAAGAGUCAUUGCUAAUUUGGCACUUUCCCCUGGAUUCCUCCCCUACUAUUUGCCUGCUUUGCUACCUAGUCCUAAACCUAAGGGUAACCUUUAUCCAGAGGUUCCCAUUUGGCGAUAAUUUUAUCUCUCAAGAGACUUUCUGCAAUUUUGGACACAUUUUUGGUUUUCGAAAGAGGAGUGGGGUUUACAACCUGCGUCUAAUGAGUAGAGACCUGGGCUGUCGCUGAACAUCCAACAAGGCAUAGGUCAAUCACUGACAACCAGGUUACCACUUCUGUUGUCAAUGGGACUAACGUGGAGAAACCCUGUCUCUUCCUGUGUGUUGGAUUUAUCACGACCCUGCUUAAAACAAUAGUUUUGUCACACAAAUGAUCUAAGUAAUUUAUCAUUUAAUUUUGCUGGUUUGGGGGGCACCUGGGUGGCUCAGUCGUUAAGUGUCUGCCU